AGCCCCGUCGUCUAGCGGCCAAGGAUAAACUGUUCUGGCUUCAGCGCAGUUCCUUUAAGGAGGCUCUGGACCUCUUGACAGCGGUUCGAAUCCGCUCGGGGCUA
rnacentral:tRNA from 1 species